rnacentral:siRNA from 1 species
CUGCCAGUAGUCAUAUGCUUGUC